UGACAUGCCUCGAAUCACGGUCCAUAAAAAAGACGGUAAUAACCUUUUAUGUAUCGUAAGCGCAGCAUCACAGAGACAACCCAGCACCCAGCAUCUGCUUCGUAUCUGGAAACUUGAGCUACACACACCCACAACUAUCACGAUCGGUGGAUAGGCCGCGGAGGAACGCAAUCAUGGUCGUCCAGAUCUCCCGACCUUAAUAGUUUAGACUACUUUUUCUGGGGUCAUCUGAAAAGUUUAGUGUACGCAGUGCCAAUUCAAACCGAAGAAGAGUUACGAAAUCGUAUAAUAGUAUGCUGCCAAACCAUAAGAGACACCCCAGGAAUUUUUGAAAAUGUACGUCAGUCUAUGCGAAGAAGAGUAGAUGCUUGCAUACGUGUGGGUGGAGGACACUUUCAACAACUACUGUAAAUACAUAAUAAAUACAUUAUGACACUUUA